GUCUGUAUGGGCUUCGGUCUCUUCUGAGAUACUUUUGGUGAUUCAAAAUAACUUAUCGAAUCGCAGAGGCGUUUACGUCGGCGAUGAUACAUACAAAUUUCUGCUCGAUUAACUGUCGAUGGUAGUGUAGUGGACUACCAUGGUGAUAAUCGAUGACGGGGGAUUAGGGUUCGAUUCCGGAGAGGUAGCCUGAGAAAUGGCUACCACUUCCAAGGAAGGCAGCAGGCGCGCAAAUUACCCAAUGCUAACUCAGCGAGGUAGUGACAAGAAAUACCAAUACAAUGCCAAUGGUGUUGUGUUUGGAAUGAGAGUAAUCUAAACAUUUACUCGAGGAACAAUUGGAGGGCAAGUCUGGUGCCAGCAGCCGCGGUAAUUCCAGCUCCAAUAGUGUAUAUUAAAGUUGUUGCAGUUAAAAAGCUCGUAGUUGGAUGUCGGUAACUAUCAUGAGUGUCUACUCUCAAUGAGUACGUACACGAAUGUAGUACCUUCUUUCUGGUAGUGAUUUUAUAUUGCUCCAGAUAUUUUACUUUGAGAAAAUUAGAGUGUUCAAAGCAGGCGUAACUUUGCCUUUGAAUAUAUUAGCAUGGGAUAAUGAAAUAAGACUUUUGCCUUAUUCUCGUUGGUUCUUUUAGGCUUAAGUAAUGAUUAAUAGGGACAGUUGGGGUUAUCUGUAUUUGAUCGCCAGAGGUGAAAUUCUAAGACUGAUCAAAGACAAACUACUGCGAAAGCAUUUAACAAGGAUGUUUUCAUUAAUCAAGAACGAAAGUUGGGGGAUCGAAGAUGAUCAGAUACCGUCGUAGUCCCAACCAUAAACUAUGUCGACCAAGGAUUCGAAAGCGUUACAUGAAUGACCUCUCGGGCACUUAUAGAGAAAUCAUAAGUAUUUGGAUUCCGGGGGGAGUAUGGUCGCAAGGCUGAAACUUAAAGAGAUUGACGGAAGGGCACCACAAGGAGUGGAAUAUGCGGUUUAAUUUGACUCAACACGGGAAAACUUACCAGGUCCAGACACAAGGAGGAUUGACAGAUUGAGAGCUCUUUCUUAAUUUUGUGGGUGGUGGUGCAUGGCCGUUUCUAGUUGGUGGAGUGAUUUGUCUGGUUAAUUCCGUUAACGAACGAGACCUUAACCUAUUAAAUAG
rnacentral:rRNA from 1 species